rnacentral:rRNA from 3 species
AACCGAGUCUUAAUUGGGCGUUAAGUUGCAGGGUAUAGACCCGAAACCCGGUGAUCUAGCCAUGGGCAGGUUGAAGGUUGGGUAACACUAACUGGAGGACCGAACCGACUAAUGUUGAAAAAUUAGCGGAUGACCUGUGGCUGGGGGUGAAAGGCCAAUCAAACCGGGAGAUAGCUGGUUCUCCCCGAAAGCUAUUUAGGUAGCGCCUCGUGAAUUCAUCUCCGGGGGUAGAGCACUGUUUCGGCUAGGGGGCCAUCCCGGCUUACCAACCCGAUGCAAACUGCGAAUACCGGAGAAUGUUAUCACGGGAGACACACGGCGGGUGCUAACGUCCGUCGUGAAGAGGGAAACAACCCAGACCGCCAGCUAAGGUCCCAAAGUCAUGGUUAAGUGGGAAACGAUGUGGGAAGGCCCAGACAGCCAGGAUGUUGGCUUAGAAGCAGCCAUCAUUUAAAGAAAGCGUAAUAGCUCACUGGUCGAGUCGGCCUGCGCGGAAGAUGUAACGGGGCUAAACCAUGCACCGAAGCUGCGGCAGCGACACUGUGUGUUGUUGGGUAGGGGAGCGUUCUGUAAGCCUGUGAAGGUGUGUCGUGAGGCAUGCUGGAGGUAUCAGAAGUGCGAAUGCUGACAUAAGUAACGAUAAAGCGGGUGAAAAGCCCGCUCGCCGGAAGACCAAGGGUUCCUGUCCAACGUUAAUCGGGGCAGGGUGAGUCGACCCCUAAGGCGAGGCCGAAAGGCGUAGUCGAUGGGAAACGGGUUAAUAUUCCCGUACUUGGUGUUACUGCGAAGGGGGGACGGAGAAGGCUAUGUUGGCCGGGCGACGGUUGUCCCGGUUUAAGCGUGUAGGUGUGUGUUCCAGGUAAAUCCGGUUCACUUUAACACUGAGGCGUGACGACGAGGCACUACGGUGCUGAAGCAACAAAUGCCCUGCUUCCAGGAAAAGCCUCUAAGCAUCAGGUAACAUCAAAUCGUACCCCAAACCGACACAGGUGGUCAGGUAGAGAAUACCAAGGCGCUUGAGAGAACUCGGGUGAAGGAACUAGGCAAAAUGGUGCCGUAACUUCGGGAGAAGGCACGCUGACACGUAGGUGAAGUGAUUUACUCAUGGAGCUGAAGUCAGUCGAAGAUACCAGCUGGCUGCAACUGUUUAUUAAAAACACAGCACUGUGCAAACACGAAAGUGGACGUAUACGGUGUGACGCCUGCCCGGUGCCGGAAGGUUAAUUGAUGGGGUCAGCGCAAGCGAAGCUCCUGAUCGAAGCCCCGGUAAACGGCGGCCGUAACUAUAACGGUCCUAAGGUAGCGAAAUUCCUUGUCGGGUAAGUUCCGACCUGCACGAAUGGCGUAAUGAUGGCCAGGCUGUCUCCACCCGAGACUCAGUGAAAUUGAACUCGCUGUGAAGAUGCAGUGUACCCGCGGCAAGACGGAAAGACCCCGUGAACCUUUACUAUAGCUUGACACUGAACAUUGAGCCUUGAUGUGUAGGAUAGGUGGGAGGCUUUGAAGUGUGGACGCCAGUCUGCAUGGAGCCGACCUUGAAAUACCACCCUUUAAUGUUUGAUGUUCUAACGUGGACCCGUUACCCGGGUUGCGGACAGUGUCUGGUGGGUAGUUUGACUGGGGCGGUCUCCUCCUAAAGAGUAACGGAGGAGCACGAAGGUUGGCUAAUCCUGGUCGGACAUCAGGAGGUUAGUGCAAUGGCAUAAGCCAGCUUGACUGCGAGCGUGACGGCGCGAGCAGGUGCGAAAGCAGGUCAUAGUGAUCCGGUGGUUCUGAAUGGAAGGGCCAUCGCUCAACGGAUAAAAGGUACUCCGGGGAUAACAGGCUGAUACCGCCCAAGAGUUCAUAUCGACGGCGGUGUUUGGCACCUCGAUGUCGGCUCAUCACAUCCUGGGGCUGAAGUAGGUCCCAAGGGUAUGGCUGUUCGCCAUUUAAAGUGGUACGCGAGCUGGGUUUAGAACGUCGUGAGACAGUUCGGUCCCUAUCUGCCGUGGGCGCUGGAGAACUGAGGGGGGCUGCUCCUAGUACGAGAGGACCGGAGUGGACGCAUCACUGGUGUUCGGGUUGUCAUGCCAAUGGCACUGCCCGGUAGCUAAAUGCGGAAGAGAUAAGUGCUGAAAGCAUCUAAGCACGAAACUUGCCCCGA